rnacentral:rRNA from 1 species
ACUCAAAUGAAUUGACGGGGACCCGCACAAGCGGUGGAACAUGUGGUUUAAUUCGAGGCAACGCGAAGAACCUUACCAGGAUUUGACAUGCCCUCUAUGAACGGCUGAAAGGCUGUUCUUCACUUCGGGUGGGAGGUGCACAGGUGCUGCAUGGCUGUCGUCAGCUCGUGUCGUGAGAUGUUGGGUUAAGUCCCGCAACGAGCGCAACCCUCGUCUUCUGUUGCUAACAGGUUAAGCUGAGCACUCUGAAGAAACUGCCGGUGAUAAGCCGGAGGAAGGUGGGGAUGACGUCAAGUCCUCAUGGCCCUUACAUCCUGGGCUACACACGUGUUACAAUGGUGGUGACAAUGGGUCGCGAUCCCGCAAGGGCUAGCCAAUCCCCAAAAGCCACCUCAGUUCGGAUCGUACUCUGCAACUCGAGUACGUGAAGCUGGAAUCGCUAGUAAUCGUGGAUCAGCACGCCACGGUGAAUACGUUCCCGGGUCUUGUACACACCGCCCGU